rnacentral:rRNA from 1 species
AACGAACGCUGGCGGCAGGCUUAACACAUGCAAGUCGAACGCGUGCAGCAAUGCACGGGUGGCGCCCGGGUGAGUAACGAGUGGAUAAACGCCUUUUGGUUCGGAAUAACCCCGGGAAACUGGGGCUAAUAACGGAUGGUUACUACGGGUUGAAGCUCGUUCGCCAAAAGAUGAGUCCGCGUCCGAUUAGCUAGUUGGUGAGGUAAUGGCACAGCCAGGCGAGGAUCGGUAGCUGGGCUGAGAGGAGGAUCAGCCGCGCUGGGGCUGAGACACGGCCCAGACUCCGACGGGAGACAGGAGUAGGGAAUAUUAGACGAUGAGGGCAACUCUGACCCAGCCGUGCGGGGUAUGUGAGGAAGGCGUUCGGAUUGUAAAUCUGUUUUGGCCGGGACGAUGAUGACGGUACCCGCAAAAUAAGCCCCGGCUAACUUCGUG